rnacentral:rRNA from 1 species
UGGGGAAUUUUGGACAAUGGGCGAAAGCCUGAUCCAGCCAUGCCGCGUGAGUGAAGAAGGCCUUCGGGUUGUAAAGCUCUUUCAGGUGGAAAGAAAACGCAUAGGUUAAUACCUUGUGCGGAUGACGGUACCAUCAUAAGAAGCACCGGCUAACUACGUGCCAGCAGCCGCGGUAAUACGUAGGGUGCGAGCGUUAAUCGGAAUUACUGGGCGUAAAGCGUGCGCAGGCGGUUAUGUAAGACAGAUGUGAAAUCCCCGGGCUCAACCUGGGAACUGCGUUUGUGACUACAUAACUAGAGUACGGCAGAGGGAUGUAGAAUUCCGCGUGUAGCGGUGAAAUGCGUAGAUAUGCGGAAGAACACCGAUAGCGGAGGCUGCCUCCUGGGCCAGUACUGACGCUCAUGCACAAAAGCGUGGGGAGCAAACA